CCCUACGGGGUGGAUUCCGCUGUACGAGGACCUUGUGCCUUUGUUCAGGACAGUUAUUGGACGCGAGUAUUCGCAUGAAGAAUAUGAUGCCGAGUUCUCGCUUCGUAUCCCCGAGAACCUCAGCAAGAUAGACCGUGUCAUCGAAAGCUGGAAGAACAGUACAAACGAUACCCCGGCUGUUCUGUUCACGGUUCUGGAGGCCCAGCGGGAGCGUCUACUCCAAGCUCAGAGAGCAUUUGGCGACGAGGUGAAGCCUUCGCAGUGGAAAGACAGGGCGUGAACUGCGCCUGAGUACGAAGUAACAGGUAACACUCGAGCCGCGUGCCUUGACGGACACGCGGCUCUCCUGCUUUCCUGCCUCAGCUGACAGAUUCUGAAACUCAGUGUACCGGGGC
rnacentral:rRNA from 1 species